rnacentral:rRNA from 1 species
AUUACUGAGUUUACGCUCUAUAACCCUUUGUGAACAUACCUAUAACUGUUGCUUCGGCGGGUAGGGUCUCCGUGACCCUCCCGGCCUCCCGCCCCCGGGCGGGUCGGCGCCCGCCGGAGGAUAACCAAACUCUGAUUUAACGACGUUUCUUCUGAGUGGUACAAGCAAAUAAUCAAAACUUUUAACAACGGAUCUCUUGGUUCUGGCAUCGAUGAAGAACGCAGCGAAAUGCGAUAAGUAAUGUGAAUUGCAGAAUUCAGUGAAUCAUCGAAUCUUUGAACGCACAUUGCGCCCGCCAGCAUUCUGGCGGGCAUGCCUGUUCGAGCGUCAUUUCAACCCUCAAGCUCUGCUUGGUGUUGGGGCCCUACAGCUGAUGUAGGCCCUCAAAGGUAGUGGCGGACCCUCCCGGAGCCUCCUUUGCGUAGUAACUUUACGUCUCGCACUGGGAUCCGGAGGGACUCUUGCCGUAAAACCCCCAAUUUUCCAAAGGUUGACCUCGGAUCAGGUAGGAAUACCCGCUGAACUUAAGCAUAUCAAUAAGCGGAGGAAAAGAAACCAACAGGGAUUGCCUCAGUAACGGCGAGUGAAGCGGCAACAGCUCAAAUUUGAAAUCUGGCCCUAGGCCCGAGUUGUAAU